rnacentral:tRNA from 1 species
UCCCAUGUGUCUCAGUGGUAAAGAAUCUGCCUGCCAAUGCAUUAGAUGCAGAAGAUGUGGGUUCAAUCCCUAGGUUGGGAA